rnacentral:rRNA from 1 species
GUGAGACAGGUGCUGCAUGGCUGUCGUCAGCUCGUGUUGUGAAAUGUUGGGUUAAGUCCCGCAACGAGCGCAACCCUUAUCCUUUGUUGCCAGCGGUCCGGCCGGGAACUCAAAGGAGACUGCCAGUGAUAAACUGGAGGAAGGUGGGGAUGACGUCAAGUCAUCAUGGCCCUUACGACCAGGGCUACACACGUGCUACAAUGGCGCAUACAAAGAGAAGCGACCUCGCGAGAGCAAGCGGACCUCAUAAAGUGCGUCGUAGUCCGGAUUGGAGUCUGCAACUCGACUCCAUGAAGUCGGAAUCGCUAGUAAUCGUGGAUCAGAAUGCCACGGUGAAUACGUUCCCGGGCCUUGUACACACCGCCCGUCACACCAUGGGAGUGGGUUGCAAAAGAAGUAGGUAGCUUAACCUUCGGGAGGGCGCUUACCACUUUGUGAUUCAUGACUGGGGUGAAGUCGUAACAAGGUAACCGUAGGGGAACCUGCGGUUGGAUCACCUCCUUACCU